GGGUACAAAAAUACAGUUCCAUACAAUAAAUAAGAUCUAGUAUUUAAUAGCACAACAGAGUGACUACCAUUAGCAAUAAUUUGUUGUACAUUUUGAAUAACUGAGGUAGUAUAAUUGAACUGUUCAUAACAGAAAGAAAUGAGAAAUGCUCGAGGUGAUGGAUACACCGUUUACCCUGAUGUGAUUAUUAUACAUGUAUGCCUGUAUCAGAAUAUCUCAUGUUCCCCAUACAAAUAUAUGCUUCCUAU